GUAAUAAGUUGUCCUGAACUUUUCCAAGUGUAAUAUCUUGUCUUGUAAUUUUCCAAGUUUAUAAUCCUAAGAAUAUUAUUUCUCUUGCUCGCAUGUUUCCAUGUAAUCUAUAUAUGUUUUGUGCGUUUAUCUCAUUUCGGUAAGAU